UACAGAGGGUGCGAGCGUUAAUCGGAGUAACUGGGCGUAAAGGGCACGUAGGCGGUUAUAUUAGUCUGAUGUGAAAGACCUGGGCUUAACCUGGGAUGUGCAUUGGAAACGGUAUGGCUAGAGUAUGGGAGAGGGAAGUGGAAUUUCCGGUGUAGCGGUGAAAUGCGUAGAGAUCGGAAAGAACACUCGUGGCGAAGGCGGCUUUCUGGCCCAAAACUGACGCUGAGGUGCGAAAGCUAGGGGAGCAAACGGG
rnacentral:rRNA from 1 species